rnacentral:rRNA from 1 species
AGAACGAACGCUGGCGGCAUGCCUAAUACAUGCAAGUCGAACGGACACUUCGGUGUUAGUGGCGCACGGGUGCGUAACGCGUGGGAAUCUGCCCUUGGGUUCGGAAUAACAGUUGGAAACGACUGCUAAUACCGGAUGAUAUCGAAAGAUCAAAGAUUUAUCGCCCAGGGAUGAGCCCGCGUAGGAUUAGCUAGUUGGUGAGGUAAAGGCUCACCAAGGCGACGAUCCUUAGCUGGUCUGAGAGGAUGAUCAGCCACACUGGGACUGAGACACGGUCCAGACUCCUACGGGAGGCAGCAGUGGGGAAUUUUGGACAAUGGGCGCAAGCCUGAUCCAGCAAUGCCGCGUGCAGGAUGAAGGCCUUCGGUU